GCCGGGCGUGGUGGCUCACGCCUGUAAUCCCAGCACUUGGGGAGGCCAAGACGGGUGGAUCACCUCAGGUCAGGAGUUCGAGACCAGCCUGACCAACAUGGUGAAACCCCGUCUUUA
ensembl:misc_RNA Metazoa_SRP Metazoan signal recognition particle RNA